rnacentral:rRNA from 1 species
UACGUAGGGUGCAAGCGUUGUCCGGAAUUAUUGGGCGUAAAGAGCUCGUAGGCGGUCUGUCGCGUCGGUCGUGAAAACUUGGGGCUUAACCCUGAGCUUGCGGUCGAUACGGGCAUGACUGGAGUUCGGCAGGGGAGACUGGAAUUCCUGGUGUAGCGGUGAAAUGCGCAGAUAUCAGGAGGAACACCGGUGGCGAAGGCGGGUCUCUGGGCCGAUACUGACGCUGAGGAGCGAAAGCGUGGGGAGCAAAAGGG